ACGAACUUACUUGAACAUGAUCUAUUAUAUAGGUUGUACAUCUUAGUUUACGUAGAUUCCUAUUCAGACAAGCACACAAAUUCAGAAGAUGAACUAUGGCUCUCGGACCAGAGCAUGAAUAAUGUGAUGGUUGGGGGUGGCUUCCCACUUCCACCCUUCUCUUGAUGAAUGCCCCAUCUGUGAAAUUUCUAGUUCCACAUGGUGAAGGCCUAAGAGCCUUCUGAUGGAUC
rnacentral:snoRNA from 1 species